GAUGAAGAACGCAGCGAAAUGCGAUAAGUAAUGUGAAUUGCAGAAUUCAGUGAAUCAUCGAAUCUUUGAACGCACAUUGCGCCCGCCAGUAUUCUGGCGGGCAUGCCUGUUCGAGCGUCAUUUCAACCAUCAAGCCCCGGGCUUGUGUUGGGGACCUGCGGCUGCCGCAGGCCCUGAAAUGCAGUGGCGGGCUCGCUGUCACUCCGAGCGUAGUAAUACAUCUCGCUCUGGACGAGCUGCGGGUUCCGGCCGUUAAAAGCCUUAUUUACCCAAGGUUGACCUCGGAUCAGGUAGGAAGACCCGCUGAACUUAAGCAUAUCAAUAAGCGGAGGA
rnacentral:misc_RNA from 1 species